CCUACGGGAGGCAGCAGUGGGGAAUAUUGGACAAUGGGGGCAACCCUGAUCCAGCAAUGCCGCGUGUGUGAAGAAGGCCUGCGGGUUGUAAAGCACUUUUGGCAGGGAUGAAAAGCUGGAUUAAUAACGUGUUGACGUUACCUGCAGAAGAAGCACCGGCUAACUCUGUGCCAGCAGCCGCGGUAAUACAGAGGGUGCAAGCGUUAAUCGGAAUUACUGGGCGUAAAGCGCACGUAGGCGGUUGGUUAAGUCAGAUGUGAAAGCCCCGGGCUAAACCUGGGAAUUGCAUUCGAUACUGCUUGGCUAGAGUGUGGAAGAGGGAAGCGGAAUUCCCGGUGUAGCGGUGAAAUGCGUAGAGAUCGGGAGGAACACCAGUGGCGAAGGCGGCUUCCUGGUCCAACACUGACGCUGAGGCGCGAAAGCGUGGGGAGCAAACAGGAUUAGAUACCCGAGUAGUC
rnacentral:rRNA from 1 species